ensembl:lncRNA
CCCAGCCAUGGUGGCCAGGCUCACUGCUCUCCUUGUUUACCUCGUUUUCUCCUUGGCCGUCCUGGUCCAGACAGGAUAUGGAGACUUCAAUGAUUUUAAUCUAGAGGAUGCGCUGAAAGAAACUUCUUGAGUAAAGCGUGACUCAAACAAACGAGUCCACCAAGCAAACACAAGUGGUCGGCCAUGCACCACACUCACAAUCUUGCCUUCAGAAAAGUACAUGCAUAUGAGACUAGCUGCACCUCCAUCUACCUGUUAGUUCUGUUGUGCAAGGCUUGUGUCGUCUCGUCAUACGUGUGUCAUCUUCCUUUUUCAUUCAGUUUUUUUCGAAACCACAAGAGAACGUGCAUCUGCCUUCACCUUUUUUCUGCUGGACUAAAAGAGAACUCCUACCCAUUUCAUUCCUCUCACUGUUUUGUUUUGAGACAGGGUCUCUUGAUUUAGCCCGAGUUGUCCUGAAAUUCUCUGGGCCAACAAGGCCGGCUUUGACUUGGGUCCAGUGCUAGAACAACAGUGACUCUUGUCCACUGAUGCAUUUCUAGCUUCAGAACCCAUGACUUUUUAUGAUUCUUCAGUGUGAUCCCCACAAUGGCCUCAGGGACCAAUACCGAGACCAUUCUCACGAUGUGACUUCUGUAAACCAUAAAGCAGCCAAUGUGUUUUAUAAUCUGCUUCCUUUUGUCCUCCCAUCUCCCUUCAGGGAGCCACUUAGGCACCACGACUAGGAGGACAGGAACUACCAAAGCCCCAUCAAAUCCAGCAGGUAACGAGGUGUGGGAAUGAGGAAGGCCAGACUCACCUGAGAAGGGACACAAGGAGGGACUCGUUGGGACUCCAUCUGGGACAGGGUCAAAAGGAGCCAUGUAGAAUUUUUAGCUGCACAUAUGAAAAGUCAACAAAGGCACCCAUGUGAAUGUUAGAUUUAAUUCAACAGAAUCCCAUCUAGUUGGUCACUGUGCCUUAUGGGAAAACCAUGCAUUUCUACUUCCUAUUUCUUUGGGUGACGAUGGCUGCCAGAAUCCAGGUAUAGGAGGCAGAAGGGGUGAGCUGGACUUGACUGAAGACCCAGCCUAUCUCCAUCGCUCCCAGGUUAAACAUGAGCCAUUCAUAGUCGAGCACAGUGGGGCAACC